UACGUAGGGGGCGAGCGUUGUCCGGAAUUAUUGGGCCUAAAGCAUCCGUAGCCGGUUCUGCAAGUCCCCCGUUAAAUCCAGCUGCUCAACAGAUGGGCCGCGGAGGAUACUACAGAGCUAGGAGGCAGGAGAGGCAAGCGGUACUCAGUGGGUAGGGGUAAAAUCCGUUGAUCCAUUGAAGACCACCAGUGGCGAAGGCGGCUUGCCAGAAUGCGCUCGACGGUGAGGGAUGAAAGCUGGGGGAGCAAACCGG
rnacentral:rRNA from 1 species